rnacentral:rRNA from 1 species
UGAGGAAUAUUGGUCAAUGGACGAGAGUCUGAACCAGCCAUGCCGCGUGAAGGAUGAAGGCGUUCUGCGUUGUAAACUUCUUUUAUCAGGGAAGACACCUCAGAUUUCUAUUUGAGCCGACGGUACCUGAUGAAUAAGCACCGGCUAACUCCGUGCCAGCAGCCGCGGUAAUACGGAGGGUGCAAGCGUUAUCCGGAUUCACUGGGUUUAAAGGGUGUGUAGGCGGGCUAUUAAGUCAGUGGUGAAAUCUCCGGGCUCAACUCGGAAACUGCCAUUGAUACUAUUAGUCUUGAAUAUUGUUGAGGUUGGCGGAAUAUGUCAUGUAGCGGUGAAAUGCUUAGAUAUGACAUAGAACACCGAUUGCGAAGGCAGCUAGCUAAACAAUGAUUGACGCUGAGGCACGAAAGCGUGGGGAUCAAACAGG